UGGGGAAUCUUGCGCAAUGGGCGAAAGCCUGACGCAGCCAUGCCGCGUGAAUGAUGAAGGUCUUAGGAUUGUAAAAUUCUUUCACCGGGGACGAUAAUGACGGUACCCGGAGAAGAAGCCCCGGCUAACUUCGUGCCAGCAGCCGCGGUAAUACGAAGGGGGCUAGCGUUGCUCGGAAUUACUGGGCGUAAAGGGAGCGUAGGCGGACUGUUAAGUUAGAGGUGAAAGCCCAGGGCUCAACCUUGGAAUUGCCUUUGAUACUGGCAGUCUUGAGUACGGAAGAGGUAUGUGGAAUUCCGAGUGUAGAGGUGAAAUUCGUAGAUAUUCGGAAGAACACCAGUGGCGAAGGCGACAUACUGGUCCGUUACUGACGCUGAGGCUCGAAAGCGUGGGGAGCAAACA
rnacentral:rRNA from 1 species